rnacentral:rRNA from 1 species
UGAGACCUCAAGUCAGGCGGGGCUACCCGCUGAAUUUAAGCAUAUCAAUAAGCGGAGGAAAAGAAACUAACAAGGAUUCC